rnacentral:rRNA from 1 species
GCUAGCGUUGCUCGGAAUCACUGGGCGUAAAGGGUGCGUAGGCGGGUCUUUACGUCAGGGGUGAAAUCCUGGAGCUCAACUCCAGAACUGCCUUUGAUACUGAAGAUCUUGAGUUCGGGAGAGGUGAGUGGAACUGCGAGUGUAGAGGUGAAAUUCGUAGAUAUUCGCAAGAACACCAGUGGCGAAGGCGGCUCACUGGCCCGAUACUGACGCUGAGGCACGAAAGCGUGGGGAGCAAACAGG